rnacentral:rRNA from 2 species
GAUGAACGCUGGCGGCGCGCCUAACACAUGCAAGUCGAACGAUUAAAGCACCUUCGGGUGUGUAUAAAGUGGCGAACGGCUGAGUAACACGUGGGCAACCUGCCCCUUUCAUUGGGAUAGCCACGGGAAACCGUGGAUAAUACCGAAUACUUCGAGACUUCCGCAUGGAAGACUCGAGAAAGCUCCGGCGGAGAGGGAUGGGCCCGCGGCCUGUUAGCUUGUUGGUGGGGUAACGGCCUACCAAGGCAAUGAUGGGUAGCUGGGUUGAGAGACCGACCAGCCAGAUUGGGACUGAGACACGGCCCAGACUCCUACGGGAGGCAGCAGUGGGGAAUCUUGCACAAUGGGCGAAAGCCUGAUGCAGCGACGCCGCGUGCGGGAUGAAGGCCUUCGGGUUGUAAACCGCUUUCAGCAGGGACGAGGCGAAAG